AGCUCCAAUAGCGUAUAUUAAAGUUGUUGCAGUUAAAAAGCUCGUAGUUGGAUCUCAGGUCCCGGCUCGCGGUUCACUUCGCGGUGAUUACUGCCCGUCCGGACCUACCCGCCGGUUCUCCCUUGGUGCUCUUCGCUGAGUGUCUCGGGUGCCCGGAACGUUUACUUUGAAAAAAUUAGAGUGUUCAAGGCAGGCGCUUCGCCUGAAUAAUGGUGCAUGGAAUAAUGGAAUAGGACCUCGGUUCUAUUUUGUUGGUUUUCGGAGCUCGAGGUAAUGAUUAAGAGGGACAGACGGGGGCAUUCGUAUUACGGUGUUAGAGGUGAAAUUCUUGGAUCGCCGUAAGACGAACUACAGCGAAAGCAUUUGCCAAGAAUGUUUUCAUUAAUCAAGAACGAAAGUA
rnacentral:rRNA from 1 species